UACGGGAGGCAGCAGUGGGGAAUAUUGCACAAUGGGCGAAAGCCUGAUGCAGCUAUGCCGCGUGUAUGAAGAAGGCCUUAGGGUUGUAAAGUACUUUCAUCGGGGAGGAAAAACAAAACUAAUAAUUUUAUUUCUUGACGUUACCCGAAAAAGAAGCACCGGCUAACUCCGUGCCAGCAGCCGCGGUAAUACGGAGGGUGCUAGCGUUAAUCAGAAUUACUGGGCGUAAAGAGCACGUAGGUGGUUUUUUUAAAGUCAGAUGUGAAAUCCCUGGGCUUAACCUAGGAACUGCAUUUUGAAACUGAAAUACUAGAGUAUCGUAGAGGGAGGUAGAAUUCUAGGUGUAGCGGUGAAAUGCGUAGAUAUCUGGAGGAAUACCUGUGGCGAAAAGCGGCCUCCUAAACGAAUACUGACACUGAGGUGCGAAAGCGUGGGGAGCAAAACAGGGAUUAGAUACC
rnacentral:rRNA from 1 species